rnacentral:rRNA from 1 species
AUUGAACGCUGGCGGCAGGCCUAACACAUGCAAGUCGAACGAGUGGCGGACGGGUGAGUAAUGUCUGUGAGACUGCCCGAUGGAGGGGGAUAACACCACGAAACGGGAGCUAAUAUCGCAUACCAUCAGAUGUGCCCAGAUGGGGUUAGCUCGUGGGUGGGGUAACGGCUCACCUAGGCGACGAUCCCUAGAUGGUCUGAGAGGAUGACCAGCCACACUGGAACUGAGACAUGGCCCAGACUCCUACGGGAGGCAGCAGUGGGGAAUAUUGCACAAUGGGCGCAAGCCUGAUGCAGCCAUGCCGCGUGUAUGAAGAAGGCCUUAGGGUUGUAAAGUACUUUCAGCGGGGAGGCGUUACCCGCAGAAGAAGCACCGGCUAACUCCGUGCCAGCAGCCGCGGUAAUAC